rnacentral:rRNA from 1 species
GAUGAACGCUGGCGGCGUGCCUAAUACAUGCAAGUCGAGCGAAUGGAUUAAGAGCUUGCUCUUAUGAAGUUAGCGGCGGACGGGUGAGUAACACGUGGGUAACCUGCCCAUAAGACUGGGAUAACUCCGGGAAACCGGGGCUAAUACCGGAUGUGCCCUUCGGGGGAAAGGAAGCUUCGGCCUCCGCAUCGGGAUGGGCCCGCGGCCCAUUAGCGUGUUGGUGGGGUAAUGGCCCACCAAGGCGACGAUGGGUAGCUGGUCUGAGAGGACGAUCAGCCACACUGGGACUGAGACACGGCCCAGACUCCUACGGGAGGCAGCAGUGGGGAAUCUUGCGCAAUGCGCGAAAGCGUGACGCAGCAACGCCGCGUGGGGGAAGACGGCCUUCGGGUUGUAAACCCCUUUCAGUUGGGACGAAGCUCUGCCGGUGAAUAGCCGGCCGGAGUGACGGUACCUUCAGAAGAAGCCCCGGCUAACUACGUGCCAGCCGCCGCAGUAA